CAGAUCAUCUUCGAGAGAUUCAGGUGCAGUUUGCUGGUUUUGACUCUUAAGCUGUCAUAUUUGUAUCAAAUUCAUAACUUGGCUGAAUGAUUUAUGGUUUUAUCAUAGAAGUUUGCAACUUGUCUCUUGCCUUGUAUUGAAAAUAAUGUCUACGUUCUUUGAUAUUAUUUCUGAAAAAGAAUAUUCAUUAUCAGUUGAUUUUAGUUACAUGGUUGAUUUUGACAAGAAG
rnacentral:misc_RNA from 1 species